rnacentral:rRNA from 1 species
AUUGAACGCUGGCGGCAGGCCUAACACAUGCAAGUCGAACGAGUGGCGGACGGGUGAGUAAUGUUUGGGAAACUGCCUGAUGGAGGGGGAUAACUACUGGAAACGGUAGCUAAUACCGCAUACCAUCAGAUGUGCCCAGGUGGGAUUAGCUAGUUGGUGGGGUAACGGCUCACCAAGGCGGCGAUCCCUAGCUGGUCUGAGAGGAUGACCAGCCACACUGGGACUGAGAAACGGUCCGGACUCCUACGGGAGUCAGCAGUGGGGAAUAUUGCACAAUGGGCGCAACCCUGAGGCAGCCAUGCCGCGUGUAUGAAGAAGGCCUUCGGGUUGUAAAGUACUUUCAGCGGGGAGGCGUUACCCGCAGAAGAAGCACCGGCUAACUCCGUGCCAGCCGCCGCGGUAAUAC